AAGGAUAUCGAACCAUAGGUUUGCGCUCACGCACGUACCGCCCUUCGGGCUGUGCUUCGCGGGAGCGCCGGACGACCGGCGACGGCCUCUGGCCUGUAUGGGCGAGCCCUCGUAGGCUUGAAGUUCGGCGAGAUGGGCCCGUAGCUCAGUUGGUUAGAGCACACGCNUGAUAAGCGUGGG
rnacentral:misc_RNA from 1 species